AGCAGCCGCGGUAAUUCCAGCUCCAAUAGCGUAUAUUAAAGUUGUUGCAGUUAAAAGCUCGUAGUUGAAUUUCGGGGUUAGUAGGUUGGUCAUGCCUCUGGUAUGUACUGGUCUCACUGAUUCCUCCUUCCUGAUGAACCUUAAUGCCAUUAAUUUGGUGUUUUGGGGAAUUUGGACUGUUACUUUGAAAAAUUAGAGUGUUUAAAGCAAGCUAACGCUUGAAUACAUUAGCAUGGAAUAAUGAAAUAGGACGUUCGAUCCUAUUUUGUUGGUUUCUAGGAUUGACGUAAUGAUUAAUAGGGAUAGUUGGGGGCAUUAGUAUUCAAUUGUCAGAGGUGAAAUUCUUGGAUUUAUUGAAGACUAACUACUGCGAAAGCAUUUGCCAAGGAUGUUUUCAUUAAUCAAGAACGAAAGUUAGGGGAUCGAAGACGAUCAGAUACCGUCGUAGUCUUAACCAUAAACUAUGCCGACUAGGGAUCGGAUGAUGUUAAUUUUUAAUGACUCAUUCGGCGCCUUACGG
rnacentral:misc_RNA from 1 species